UUGCUUCGGCAGCACACAUACCAAAACUUGGAAUGAUACAGAAAAGAUUAGCAUGACCUCUGUGCAAGAAUGAUGCAUAAACUUGUGAAGUGUUCCAUAUUUAA